UGUGAGAAUACUGCCACUGAUGGGAUUUCAAAUAAGAUAGAUACAUCUAAUAAGUUCACAAAUACCUUGAUUGCUCUAAAAUCUACACAGCUGGUCUCCACUAUUUCUCCCAACAUAGAGAUCAGACCAGAAGAUCUUUCAACUGUGGAAUCUACCGUGUCUUGCUUCCUUGGAGUAUCUAAAUUUGCUGAAUCUGAAUCCCAUGUUGACGCAUUAUUAGCUAUGCUCCGAGAAUGGGAGGGGCACUUUAGUAGGGAAGAAAUG
rnacentral:misc_RNA from 1 species